GUGAGUAUCAUACCAUAGGGCAGGGAGACUCUCGACUUGCAUAUAGCCUCUCUCAUCUGCCUGAUCAUCAUAGCUGGGAGGUUCAGGGGAAUGCCCUGAAUAACGUGUUCCAUAAUGACCAAAUCUCUCUCAGAUAUAUGAUCAAAUCUUCCACUUUUCGAAAACAAAAUUUGACCUAUGAAGUUGUGCAACAACCUCAUCUCAGCUGAUAGGGAGCUCGCUAUCACAUUCUCAGAAUAGUCAAAA
rnacentral:lncRNA from 1 species